rnacentral:pre_miRNA from 1 species
UAACCUCCGCAGGCUGGCCGGCCCCCAGGCUGGGCUGGGCGAGUAUCUCUUUGAAAGGCUCACCCUCAAGCAUUGACUGGCAGC